rnacentral:rRNA from 1 species
UACAGAGGUCCCAAGCGUUGUUCGGAUUCACUGGGCGUAAAGGGCGCGUAGGCGGCGAGGUAAGUCGGAUGUGAAAGCUCGGAGCUCAACUCCGAAAUGGCAUUGGAAACUACCUUGCUCGAGGGUUGGAGGGGGGACUGGAAUACUUGGUGUAGCAGUGAAAUGCGUAGAUAUCAAGUGGAACACCAGUGGCGAAGGCGAGUCCCUGGACAACUCCUGACGCUGAGGCGCGAAAGCUAGGGGAGCAAACAGG